UCGUCGACGCGACUUCCGCGGAAUGCCUUGACAACUUACCGCCGUACCUUCUUCUCCCUCCGCACCUUCUCAUCGCCCGACACCGCCGCCUCCUCUUUCCUGAGACUCAUCGCCUCCUCAGACGCAACCGCCGUCCGCCGUCAACGCCACAGGAGCGGCGGGGAGUGCCGGCGAGUCCAGUCGUGCGCGCGCGGCUGACGCCUCCUCCUCGCCCCUCCGCGACGCCUCCCUCGAUCUGCUCCCGUCGCCGACUACGCAUCGGCGCUCCCGUUGCAGAGGAGGAGCGGAAGGCGAGGACACGGCGCAGCGGCAGAAAUUUAGCCCGCGAGGCAGUUCGUCCGAUCUAAAUGGUGGAGGUGGAGGAGGUCGGGAACAAGAUGCAGUCGCAGAUGCGCCUCCACGCGGCGGCGGAGGACGACGACGCCGACCUCCUGCUCCCCGCCCUCUUCAAAAGCCGCCGCCGAUGACCUCCCGCUCCCCGCCCUCUUCGACAGGGCAUCCCGGUUCCACAGCCUCGCCUCCAGCUCCGCCCUCGACCAGGAAGGGAUCCCGAAGGGGGUCGAGCUGCUGCGGCGCUGCGACGAGAUGGUCAGCAAGCUCCACCUCUUCUCCCCCAACGAGACCAAGGAAGACGUCUCCACCGCCAACCUCAAAUACCUGCUCUUCUAUAAGAGGGUGCCAAAUGUGGUCCAGGGACAGACUAUACAUUUAGUACAAGAUAUCUGAUACUUGGGGUUUGGAGUACCAACCUACUACAAUGGAAAAUUUUACAUGAUAUUCAGUAUAAGUCUUAUUAGGUUUUGGAGUUUAGGGACAUCCUUCCCAUGUGUUGAUGUUUGAAUGGUUCAACUGAACAUCUAUAUGUUCAUGAGAAAAGAAAACAAAGGUAAAAAACAUAGGUGUCACUGGUGAGAUCACAGAACUUUUACAUAGAAAUUCAUCUCUGUGAGUAACAAAUCAAGUUGGAGAAAUGUAGUCAUGUUAUAGUUGAUUAAUGUCAGGCCUAUCUAUGCAUCGGAAACAAAAUGAAUCCAUUUGGUUCAGGUCUUUCAGUCAUUUAGAUAAGCAAUCCUCAUGCAUGUUGUUCUUCUAACGCAUCAAAAUACAGUGAAUAUAUACACAGCUCUCCUACAUUUUUGAGAAAAAAAUACAGUGAAUCGCAUAAGGAAAGGUGAUAAUCUUGCAUCUGUUCCAAUCUUUUUGCCAAAGUUAUAAUUUGUCAUCAUCAUGACAAAAAUGUGUUCAUUUUCCUGUUUCUAAGGUUCUGAAUCAGUUGAGAUGUAUGAUACUUGAAUAACUGAGGUACCUGGCUAGUUUUGUUACUCUGAAACCAACUACAGAUGUUGCAUCACAUCUCUUUAUAUUUUUCAUAUCUUCUCAGAUAAAUCAUUCUUAGACUUUGCUGUUACUAUCGGGAAAUCAUCUGAAUAGUUACUAUGGAGCUCAUGGUUCAUUUUUUCUUCUUGUUUAGCAAUUUCUUUAGUAUUUCAAAUUCAGGCAAUGGAUACCGGCUCAUGGUUCUUUGCUUAUUUUCUGUGACUUUUACUUCCUCCGUUCCAAAUUAUAGGUCGUUUGGACUUUUUCAGAUUCAUAUAUUUUCCUAUGCACUUAGAUAUACGCUAUGUCUAGAUACAUAGCAAAAACUAUGGAUCUAAAAAGCCCAAAACGACCUACAAUUUGGAACGGAGGGAGUACUUUUUGCUCAACCAAUAUAACACACAUGACGCAUGAAUAAAUUGUUUGAUUGAAGAGAAUAAGGCUGUGAAAUUUUCCAAAUUGAAUUGAAUUAAUCAUGGCACAGGGUUAUUCAGAGGAGGUGCAAUGAAGUUAGCACUUGAAUUGGUAUUCACCAAUAUGCUACAGAUGUGAUCAUUACCCUGAAAUUAGUAGAGGCCUAGAGGGUAAUAUACUCAGGAAGCCUGUAUGUAAUUGGAGCCGAGCACUGCAGGUGGAAGUUCUCAGAUUUUCAUAACCAUCUGCUCGAGCAUAGGGCUGUCCGCCCUUUCGCUGGACUGGAAGAUGCUUUGAUCUUGUGAAAUUCAGCUUGGCAAUUUGAAUUGUGCGGUGUUGACUGAGCUUUUGAUUAAUAUAGCAAGUCGUCUGAAUUCUGAAUCCAGUAUGUUUAUAAUACAUUGUUACACGUCGGGACCUUGCUUUCUGAUCCUUUAUGAUUUGUUAUCCAUCUAGAGACUACCUACCAUAGAACUGCAAGAGAAGUUAUAGAUGUUUGAUACUG